CAGGUACUCCCUCCGUCCAAAAAUACUUGUCAUCAAAAUGGACAAAAAGUGAUGUAUCUAGAACUAAAAUACAUCUAGAUACAUCCCCUUUUAUUCAUGACAAGUAUUUCCGGACGGAGGGAGUACAUC
rnacentral:pre_miRNA from 1 species